GAAGUAACUGAAUUUAUCUAAGGUCAGAUUGUUGAGUUUAUUGUACGCAUAAUUAAUUCAAAUACUUAUCUCAUUAAUUUUUCAAUUUCAACAUAUUAUUGAUUAAUUAAUUUGAAAUCGGUCACAUUCAACUUGAUAAUUUAUACAUUAGUGGACAAUUUACUAAAGCAAUGAUUUAUAUAUAGUAUACAAAUCUUUGACUAAAGUUAUUAUAAUACGAGCGAAUUUAUUUUAAUUUAUGUUGGAUUGUAUAAUAAAUGUUUGAUUCACAUAGUUUUUUAAUUCCAGUUACAUUAAUAUUUUUGUAUCUUUUUAUCGAGGUAUUAAAAUUGAAAACUAGAUUCCAGGUAUUUCUAUUCAAUUUACAUUUCGUAAUGCAGAUUAAAAUGGUAUUGUUCCAUUAUCAGGUAUGUUAACUAUUAUUUAAUAAUGGGGUUGCCUUGUGAGACAUUAACACCAUCAAAUGCAAUUAAUUAAUUUAUGGUACCAUUUAUUGUUCUUUAGCGUGUUUAGGACAGCAGUAAAUCGUAAAUAUAUUUCAAAGUUGAGCCUCCGUUAAAAGAAAUUAGUUGAUAAAAUUUUUGAUAUGGCAGCUACAGUGAUGUCUUUAUAACCGAUUAUUUUUAGGUCAACCAAAUUGCGUUGCAUAUAUACAGAGACAUAUAAUACAAUAUGUCUCUGAUAUAUAUUAUAAUAUUUAUUUUCAAAUAAUAUUCAUUCAUAUUUUGAAGUAAUGUCUUUAUAACCGAUUGUUUUUUCGGUUAUCCAAAUUGCAUUGCACACAUUUUGAUAUUUAUUUAGUGUAUAAAAUAUAUAUUAUUUUAAUUAUAUUUGUUCAUAAUGACAUUUAUUGGAAGGUUUAUGAUGUCUGAGUAGAAAAGGCGUUGAAAGAGGUGUUAUAAUUGGGGUAAAGAAAACUGCUUUAGCCACCUGUGAUGUCAAAAUAGCUACGCAUCUGAAACAGAAACUGAAAAUUUGUUAUGCAGGAUUAUUUCAUUCAUCAGCAGGACCAUCUAUAUGUAUGUUAGUCAGAGAAGUGGCAGUAUGCCUUAUCUAAAUACAGUAAUAAAACAGGUACAUCUUUUAUUCUUUAAUUUUAAUGUAGCUAAUUCAGUACAUGACAUUUUUAGCUUUAACAAUGAUUUCAGUAGUAGCAUUUCGAGCA
rnacentral:lncRNA from 1 species